AGUGAACGCUGGCGGUAGGCCUAACACAUGCAAGUCGAACGGCAGCACAGUAAGAGCUUGCUCUUACGGGUGGCGAGUGGCGGACGGGUGAGGAAUACAUCGGAAUCUACUUUUGCGUAGGGGAGAACGUAGGGAAACUUACGUUAAUACCGCAUACGACCUACGGGUGAAAGCAGGGGAUCUUCGGACCUUGCGCGAUUGAAUGAGCCGAUGUCGGAUUAGCUAGUUGGCGGGGUAAAGGCCCACCAAGGCGACGAUCCGUAGCUGGUCUGAGAGGAUGAUCAGCAACACUGGAACUAGGACACGGUCCAAAAUCGUACGGGAGGCAGCAGUGGGGAAUAUUGGAGAAUGGGCGGAAGCCUGUUCCAGCCAUACGGCGUGGGUCAAAAAGGCCUUCGCGUUGUAAAGCCCUUAUGUUGGGAGGUAAAAGAGGCAGGUUACUACCCCGCUGUUCUGACGGUACCCAAAGAGUAAGCACCGGCUAACUUCGU
rnacentral:rRNA from 1 species